GAGAGCAGAGCGUGCGCGCUGCUGCUGAUGCAAGAAGCCAGCCAGCUUAACCCAGCCGGCGGCCGACCUGUCCGGAGGCAGAGAGAGGGAGAGAAGGACAGAAGGCGCCCUAACGAAGGCACCCACCCCGCGCCCAGGCUGAGGAGGAGGGGGGCAAGGCUCCCUCCGUUUCCCCGCUCUUCUCUGGGCCCUUCCACACAGCCCUGUAUCCCAGAAUAUCAAGGCAGAAAACCCCACAAUAUCUGCUUUGAAGUGGGCUCUCUGAGGGCCCUUCCACACAGGGCAGAAAAUCCCACAUUAUCUGCUCUGAACUGGAAUAUAUGGCAGUGUGGACUCAGAUACCCAAACAGGUCAAAAAAGAAGCAGAUCGUGCAAAAGGAAUCUGCAAACCCCACCUCCUCCAAGGGGAACUGAACUACCUAAACUGGGCUCCACAGGCCAGUGGAUAGUCCACCUCAGACAUCACAAGAGCUGCAAGGCCAAGAACAAGUCAGGAGAGUAAAGACAAAGAUCCACCAAGAGAAAAGGUAUUCUUACCAUACAUCAAGGGAACCACAGACCGCAUAGACAAGCUAAUGAAGAAACACAACCUACAAACUAUCUACAGACCCACUAAGGAAAUCCAACAAAUGCUAUGUUCAGUGAAGGACAAGAGGGAUCCUCUCACCUCGUUUACCGUAUACCAUGCAGCUGUGGACAAGUCUAUAUAGGAACUACCAAAUGCUGCAUUGCCCAAACACAAAUCAAGGAACAUGAAAAGCACUGCAGGCUAAUUCAACCAGAGAAGUCAGCCAUAACAAAGCACUUAAUAAACCAACCUGGACACAGCAUAUUAUUUAAGAACACAGAAAUGCUGGACCACUCUAACAACUACCAUGCCAGACUUCACAGAGAAGCCACUGAAAUCCUCAAGCAUUUUAACAGAAAGGAGGAAACCAUGAAAAUGAACAAAAUCUGGCUACCAGUUUUUUUUUUAAAAAAAACUCUAAAAUCAGGACAGUAAAUGAAGAAUAACACUCAGAAGACAGGACAAUUCCAGACAAGAAACAAUUAGGGCCAGUUAACACCUCUAACAAAGGAUUCCCCCAGGCAGGAAGUGGCCAAGCUUUGAAGCUGCAAGGCUAUAUGAUCGCUAAUCAAGGCGAUCAGUUGCAACAUUCACACUUACCUCAAUCAGACAAGAGUUCUUUCUCCCACCCUGGACCUUCCACAGAUAUAUAAACCCCACUUGCCUAGUUUCCAACAAACCUCACAACCUCUGAGGAUACCUGCCAUAGAUGUGGGUGAAAGGUCAGGAAAGAAUGCUUCUGGAACAUGGUCAUUACAGCCCAGAAAACUCACAGCAACCCAGUGAUUCUGGCUAUGAAAGCCUUCAACAACACAUAUUUUCAGUUAGUCAUAGCGCCCAUUGCUAUUUAAAGCAGGAUGAGGCAUCAGGCAAAGGUCCAUGGAAAUUAAUGGGAACUGUGCAUAAUCCUCAUCCUUUGCUAUGGAAUAAGAGAAUUUCUCACCAAAUGCACCCAUUGUCACUACUACUGUUGUUACUGGAUUGCUAGAAUCGUAGGAUUUUUGGAGGGGGUGAGUCUUCGACACCUCCAGUAUCUCAAGUUGUGGGUGUAGAAUUAUUGCCACCUGACACAUUGUAGAUUUCAUGAAGCUUGACAUCCCUAUCACUGCGACAGCUCAACACUAUAGAAUCCCUAGGAGUGAGAGGAUUAUUUGACUGGGAAGGUUAAAGACCUUGUAAAACUACAGCUCUCAUGAUUCUAUAGCACUGAGCCACAACAAUUAAAGAUGUGUCAAUCUAUGUAAAUGA